rnacentral:rRNA from 1 species
UCUUCGGAUGCUGACGAGUGGCGAACGGGUGAGUAAUACAUCGGAACGUGCCUAGUAGUGGGGGAUAACUACUCGAAAGAGUAGCUAAUACCGCAUGAGAUCUACGGAUGAAAGCAGGGGACCUUCGGGCCUUGUGCUACUAGAGCGGCUGAUGGCAGAUUAGGUAGUUGGUGGGGUAAAGGCUUGCCAAGCCUGCGAUCUGUAGCUGGUCUGAGAGGACGACCAGCCACACUGGGACUGAGACACGGCCCAGACUCC